GCCGCACUGCUGGACUUCUGCACUCACUUGGACUUGCUUGGACACUUGUGCUCAGACUCAUGUGCUCAGGCUGGACACUUGCUUGCUCAGACUGGACUUCUAAAGGAAGAAGAGAAGCUGAAAAUCAUUGUAGGGAAGCUGAAGAGCUUUGCAGAGGCCAAGAGACGCUGCCUGCCUCUUGUCUGCUUCUGACAUUGCCAGGAAGGCAACACCUCCCAGUGCUGCUGCCUCCAUUGCUCUCUGAUCCAGCGUCCAGUGCUUUCCAUCCCAACCUUCAGACUGUGGCGUCAUCUCAGCGGCCCCACCUGUGAGCACUUCUGGCCACAGUGAGUUGGAUCCUGGCCUGCUACUUGCCAAAUGCCGCAGCACCAUGCCCUCACUGAUGGAAGAACGUCCUCUUGGAUGACUGGCCUUUGUUUUGGGCUUUUGGACACUGGACACUAACUGGGAAACUGGGAGCAGCAUAUCAUGAAAUACAAAUGACUUCACAAGAUGUUAUAAAAGUCAAGUAAGAAUUUAAGAUAAAUUCUUCCUACAGUGGCUGGCCCAGAUGACCUUCUCAUCUUUGAAUUUCCCUGGGUCCAAGACAGCAUGAUGGUCAGUUGGGAAAUUGGAACUCAUCACA